rnacentral:rRNA from 1 species
GUCUAUGGCCAGACCACCCUGAAUGUGCUCAAUCUCGUCUGAUCUCGGAAGCUAAGCAGGGUGGGACCUGAUUAGUACUUGGAUUGGAAACCACCUAGGCAUACCUGCUGGGGACC